rnacentral:rRNA from 1 species
UACGGAGGAUGCGAGCGUUAUCCGGAUUUACUGGGUGUAAAGGGAGCGUAGACGGUGAUGCAAGUCAGAAGUGAAAGCCCGGGGCUCAACUCCGGGACUGCUUUUGAAACUGCCAUACUGGAGUGCCGGAGAGGUAAGUGGAAUUCCUAGUGUAGCGGUGAAAUGCGUAGAUAUUAGGAGGAACACCAGUGGCGAAGGCGGUCUGCUGGACAGCAACUGACGCUGAGGCGCGAAAGCGUGGGGAGCAAACAGG